GAAUACUAAGAGCCUGAAAAACUGCUUGGCUGAUUUUACUAAUAAAGGCUCACCUGUUAUCAGACUGUAUUGAGGAUAGGAGAGUAUAUAGGUUUGGCACCAUGGAGUGGCUAGGCAAAACAAUUUGGUUGAUAAGGCACAGAUCCUGAACUAACUUGUAAGGCUUGUCUGGUUUUAGGACAGGUAAAAUGGGGGAAUUGUAAGGAGAGUUUAUAGGCUUUAAAAGGCCAUGCUGUAGCAGGCUUUAAUCUUUUUAAAGCGUGCUGCGGGAUGGGAUAUUGGCGUUGAGUGGGGUAAGGGUGAUUAGGUUUUAAUGAGAUGGUAAGGGGUACA
rnacentral:lncRNA from 1 species